rnacentral:lncRNA from 1 species
UUUAUUUAAUUGAGUUACAACUAAGGUUAUAUAUGAGUUAUUUAUACUAUCUUAGAAUUUGCUGCUUUAGAGGCACGUCAUUUAAUGUCACAUUACACGUGGCAUGUGGUAUCACACUACACUUGGUAUAAGCUGUCAUACUAAUUUGCUGUUUUAGACACGUGGCUUGUGAUAUCCCACUAAUUAGCUAUUUUAAACAUGUGACAAGUGUUAUGACACUGUGUUGAUGUAUGUAAAUCGUAUAGAGUCUUUCAGUUAUCAGAAAAUGUCAAGG